UAAAGUACGAAGUUAAUUAGAUAAAAUAGGAACGAUAUAGAGAAGAUUAGCAUGGCCCCUGAGCAAGGAUGACACGCAUAAAUUUAAGUUGCAGAGGAAGGAG